AAACCUCAACCUCCUUGGUUUCUUCUGGAGACCAAAGGCAGGCUUGGACUUUGGAGGCCCUUGCUGGAACCUCUCUCUUUUGAAGGCCAGCUCCUCUUAAACGAAUUAGCAGGGUCCUCUUUGCCGAUCCUCGACGUGUGAUAAGAUGUUUCCAUGUCUUGGUUGCUGGCUCUGUCACUUUUGGGACCCGCUUCUAACCGUCUUGACCUUGCAUCGAGACAAUGUUCGAGCAUGUCUCCCUUCUCGGGAAGCUCCCUCGACCCCACGAAC
rnacentral:misc_RNA from 1 species